UACGAAGGGGGCUAGCGUUGCUCGGAAUCACUGGGCGUAAAGGGUGCGUAGGCGGGUCUUUAAGUCAGGGGUGAAAUCCUAGAGCUCAACUCCAGAACUGCCUUUGAUACUGGCGACCUUGAGUCCGGGAGAGGUGAGUGGAACUGCGAGUGUAGAGGUGAAAUGCGUAGAUAUCAGGAGGAACACCUGUGGUGUAGACAGCUUACUGGACCACUUCUGACGCUGAGGCACGAAAGCGUGGGGAGCAAACAGG
rnacentral:rRNA from 1 species